rnacentral:rRNA from 1 species
AGAUUAAGUUAUUAAGGGCGCACGGUGGAUGCCUUGGCACUAGAAGCCGACGAAGGACGUUACUAACGACGAUAUGCUUUGGGUAGCUGUAAGUAAGCGUUGAUCCAGAGAUUUCCGAAUGGGGGAACCCAGCACGAGUUAUGUCGUGUUAUCGACAAGUGAAUUCAUAGCUUGUCAGAAGGCAGACCCGGAGAACUGAAACAUCUUAGUACCCGGAGGAAGAGAAAGAAAAAUCGAUUCCCUGAGUAGCGGCGAGCGAAACGGGAAGAGCCCAAACCAAUAAGCUUGCUUAUUGGGGUUGUAGGACACUCUAUACGGAGUUACAAAGGAAUAUAUUAGACGAAUCAUCUGGAAAGUUGAAUCAAAGAAGGUAAUAAUCCUGUAGUUGAAAAUAUAUUCUCUCUUGAGUGGAUCCUGAGUACGACGGAGCACGUGAAAUUCCGUCGGAAUCUGGGAGGACCAUCUCCUAAGGCUAAAUACUCUCUAGUGACCGAUAGUGAACCAGUACCGUGAGGGAAAGGUGAAAAG